rnacentral:lncRNA from 1 species
GGAGAGGGCUGGGUCGCGUGUCCUGGCAGGGCCACAGGAAGAGCAUACACAUCUCCUGCGUCUUCGUAUUUUGACCAUAGCUGUCUGCAGUGCAGGAAGCCAACUAUUAAGGGGAAACAAAAGUGUUCUUAGGAGUCCUGCUGUCACUGUGGAUUGAGCCGGUGAAGCCCUGAGGGAUUUCAUCGCUGAGGUGGAUGGAGAAGCAGCUGGGGGCCUUGGCUGUAAGGACCCCUAAGGGCCUGAUCUUUUGGCCAGAAGGAGAUUAAAAAGAUGCCCCUCAAGAUGGCUGUGCCUGUCAGCUGCAUGGAGCUUCGUUCAAGUAUUUUCUGAGCCUGAUGGAUUUACAGUGAUCUUCAGUGGUCUGGGGAAUAACGCUGGUGGAACCAUGCACUGGAAUGACACACGCCCGGCACAUUUCAGGAUACUAAAAGUGGUUUUAAGGGAGGCUGUGGCUGAAUGCCUCAUGGAUUCUUACAGCUUGGAUGUCCAUGGGGGACGAAGGACUGCAGCUGGCUGAGAGGGUUGAGAUCUCUGUUUACUUAGAUCUCUGCCAACUUCCUUUGGGUCUCCCUAUGGAAUGUAAGACCCCGACUCUUCCUGGUGAAGCAUCUGAUGCACGUUCCAUCCGGCGCUCAGCUGGGCUUGAGAAUCCUGUUACACCUGGGAUUUAGGCACUUUCAAUCUGAAAAAAUACAUAUCCUUUCAGCACUCUGGACGGACUUGAGAACUGUCCUUACGUGACCUAAAGCUGGAGUAUUUUGAGAUUGGAGAAUUAAGAAGGACAGAAUAACGGGCUCCCAGAUUCACAAGCCCCACCAAGAGGAUCACCCCAGGAACGCUUGGAGGCUGAGGAGUUCACUGAGGCUACUGCAUCUUGAGACUCAGGAUGAAGACCCAGCUUGGGGCUGUCAAAGGUUUUUUGCAUGUCUGACACCCAUGACUCCACCUGGACCUUAUGGCUCCACCCAGAAGCAAUUCAGCCCAACAGGAGGACAGCUUCAACCCAUUACGAUUUCAUCUCUGCCCCAACCACUCAGCAGCAAGCACCUGUUACCUGUCCACCCCCACCCCUUCCCCCAAACUGCCUUUGAAAAAUCCCUAACCUAUGAGCUUUGAAUAAGAUGAGUACGAACUUCAUCGCCCACGUGGCGUGGCCGGCCUCGUGUCUAUUAAAUUCUUUUUCUACUACAA